GGAACCUAGCAUAGCUGUCUUCUGAGAGGCUCCACACAGUGAAGGAUGGAAACAGAUGCUGAGACUCAUGGUCAAAGACUGAGUGCGGGAUCCUUGUGGAAGAGUUGAGAAAGGUUUCUCUGGAUGUGGAUGGCACUGUUUCACCGCUGGGGCCCCAGGCUGAGUAAGGAGAAAGUGAGCUGAGCACCAGCACUCGUUUCUCUGCUCAGAGGCUGCAAGCCCAUAGUGACCGUGCUUUUGUCGCUAGGCCUUCCCCGCCUGUGCCGGGCGGUGGAUGGUCCCCACCACAUACUCUUGUUUUCAGACAUCAAUAUCUGGCUUUGAGGGGCACAAAAAGAUAAAGGAACGUGGAUUCAUAGCUCGCUGGGAUGCCUGGCAAUUCUAAUUCAGCCCGACUGCAAAUGGACACAAGACUGGUGUGACUUCUCCUGAGGCCAGAGAAGGCUGGGUCUCUUUGGUGAAGAAUCCUCUUCCUGGAAUGGCCGAGGGCAACAGAGGCUGGAUUCAGAAGCCCACAGAGCUGGGGAUGUGGGCUGCAGCGGGACUCCUGCAGGGAAAGGCUGCCAUCUUGUGGUCAGCUUGAUGCUCUGCACGCCUUUGAACUAUCUCACUGCAGAAGCCAGCAGCAAGCCCCGGGGCAAAGGAGUUUGCAAAAGCUGGAUUUCUGCAGGACACGGUGAAUGCCUUUAAGAGUCACCCAGACAGUGGCCAGGCCCCUCCGAGGUAGACUCAUGUGACUAUUGUGCAUGUAUGUUGUUAUUCCCGAGCCAAGCCCAGGCCUCACAGACACUCUGAACAUGGGCAAAAAUGAGCAGGAACACGGGCAAACAAGUCCACAGUGAGAACAACAACCAGACAAAUAUGUUCCGUGUGCUUACUGUGUUCCUGGAGGACAGCCCGGUGAAGAAUGUCCAGGCCAAGGUAAGGAGGGAAGAACUAGAAUGCUGGUUCGUAUUCUAAGGAGACAGAAAUGGCCUGUGGCUCUUCAUCCAGCGAGAUCUGUAAGCCAAACCAGAGCAGGCAAGAUCUCUGGCCUGUGUGGACAUUAUAAAAAUGUUGCACAUGUUGUGAAAAAAAAAGAAAGAAAGAAUGAAAGAAAGAAAGGAAGGAAGGAAGGAAGGAAGGAAGGAAGGAAGAAAGAAAGAAGAAAGAAAGAAAGAAAGAAAGAAAGAAAGAAAGAAAGAAAGAAGAAAGAAAGAAAACCAAACAAUAUAGACAGGUUCAGAGAGCAACAAAAGACUGGCGUCCUGCCCCUCCCCCCAGUCACCCACAGCUCACACUCCAUCAGCCUCGCAGACAUCUUGCCACAAAUAUACAUAAGUGGAGAUUCAAAACACACCUUCAUUUGAAUGUCAUCGGACCUUCCAUCCCAUUGGGCAGGGGGCUUUGUCACUUGGGACCGUGCCAGCGGUAACAUCCUAGGUUGAUAAUAUUUAAGCCAGCUGGGUGGUGGUGGUGCACGCCUUUAAUCCCAGCACUGGGGAGGCAGAGGCAGGUGGGCUCUGUGAGCUCCAGGCCAGCCUGGUCUACAGAGGGAGUUUCAGGACAGCCAAGGCUGCACAGAGAAACCCUGUCUCGAAAAACCAAACCAAA